rnacentral:tRNA from 1 species
GGGGGUAUAGCCAAGUAGUAAGGCAAGGCACUGCAAAUGCCUGAGCGUGAGUGCAAUUCUCUCUACCCCCUCCA